AGUGAACGCUGGCGGUAGGCCUAACACAUGCAAUUCGAACGGCAGCACAGUAAGAGCUUGCUCUUACGGGUGGCGAGUGGCGGACGGGUGAGGAAUACAUCGGAAUCUACUUUUUCGUGGGGGAUAACGUAGGGAAACUUACGCUAAUACCGCAUACUCCCUACGGGUGAAAGCAGGGGAUCUUCGGACCUUGCGCGAUUGAAUGAGCCGAUGUCGGAUUAGCUAGUUGGCGGGGUAAAGGCCCACCAAGGCGACGAUCCGUAGCUGGUCUGAGAGGGUGAUCAGCAACACUGGAACUGAGACACGGUCAAGACUCCUACGGGAGGCAGCAGUGGGGAAUAUUGGACAAUGGGCGCAAGCCUGAUCCAGAAAUACCGCGUGGGUGAAGAAGGCCUUCGGGUUGUAAAGCACUUUUGUUGGGAAAGAAAAGCAGCAGGUUAAUAAACCGCUGUUAUGACGGUACCCAAAGAAUAAGCACCGGAUAACUUCGUG
rnacentral:rRNA from 1 species